ACCGAAAACAUUUCUGUUUCAAACUGUGCCUUGACCACUGAAGUUAUUUGUUUAGCUCUGCUGUCCGUAGCCAAAUGGAGUUAUUCAAGUAGCACCGAUCAACGGUCUAUAAAUAGCCACUCUCCUGGGCUAGAAACUGUUCCUGCAGGAGGAGGAAAGAGUACCGACUGGCUGCUCUCGUCCUGGCACGCUGUGUCGCGGCCCAGCGUGCGCAUUUGGAAAUGGUUAGAGGUGCUGGGAGAAUUGACUAACAUCUGGAUAAGGCCCAUCUGCACCUCUGCGUUCCAGAGAGAUCACCUCCAACCGAGAGUCAAAUGGCCACGGAGAUCAAGUCACACCAGGAGACAGUCCCUUCAAGAAUUCUGGCCUUCGGAAUGAACAGAACCCUCUGGGCAAACCCCAGGUUACAGCCACCCAACGAUACAUGCAACCCAGGGACACAGCUGCCCGAAUUUUUGGAAACCUUACUUCAGUUUACAGCCUCCCUAUGCUACAACCCAUAGCCCAGCCAAGCGCUACCAGGUAGGUAAAGGAAUCUGACAAGAGCAGUGAGUGGAGUUCUACCUUCUUAAAGCCAUUCUGAAAACACUACGAGCAUCGGAGCCUCUGGUGUCUGAAGAAUAAAAAAUGGCUAUGGGCAACGAGUGGCAAAAACUAAAGAAAGUGAAAUGGAGCUGAAUACUGAAAACAGCUGAACAAGAAAAUGAAAAGGCAAGAGUAUAUCAGGUUUUGCUGAUUCGGGAGGGAUAGCAGGAGAGUGACUUCCGAGGAGAAACUGAGGAAAAGACUCAGGUGAUGUAAGUGACGCUUCAAGCCACAAUGAAGCCUAGUUUCCACCUCUUUUGGACAGAACUAAGGAGAAGGGAUUAGUAAUCAUCUGCACACCUGUCCCCGACUGUAAAAACCUCACUGAAGCUUUACCAGCUUAAUAACUACAAGGUAAUCAGGACAAAAGCGUGAUGAUAAUCACAGUUGAACAAUCUGACAAUCUGGUCAUUUUCUGAAUAGGCAUUUCGAGAUACAAAAACAGAACAAGAGCUUUUCAGCAUCACCGCACAUGAAAUUCCAACCAGGCUAGUCCGCAGGUAAUCUUCGAGGUGGAAAUUUUGUUAUUACCAACCUUGCGUCUUUUAUCACAUAAUUCCCCUUACCUG